UGCCAGUCACUUAAAGAAUAUUCUCCCAAAGUACAACGAUCAAAUGAUUUAGCUCCUUAUGUGUUUUAUGAUGUAAAAAAUAAAUACACUAAACGUGUGGAAAAAAGUGUCAUCCAUUACUUCGAAGAUGCUGUCAGUCUUAAGUAUAAGGUAAAUUAUAUUAAGCAAAAAGGUCUUGGCGGAUUUGUACUUUGGGAAUUCAUUCAUGAUGAUUUUUCGGGCAAUUGCUACGAAGGUCGAUACCCAAUCUUAAGUAUACUCAAUCGAGUGUGCAAGUAAGGACUGUUGAUGUGAUUCAAGUUUAUAUUGAGAUGAAACUAGACAGUACGUAUUUAGGAGAGUCAAAGAGAUUCUUAGCUUCAAAUUUUAGUAAUAAUAAAAGAAAAAUUGAAAGAA
rnacentral:sRNA from 1 species